UUCUAAGCAGCUGACAUUUUCCAUUCCUCAAAGCUUCCGCCUCUCCUCAUCUCUGCCUUGCCAUCUCUAUCUCUCAGCAUCUUCCUUCUCCAUCUUUCUGCUCCAUAGAUCUGUAGGGCUAUUGAGCACCCAACUUUUUUAGCACUUACAAGACCAUUGUGUGAUCUGUAUUCAACUUAUUCCUCCCCUUCUAGUUGCAACGAUAAAAGAAACUCAGGGUAUGUAGAUGUUGUUGUAGUUCUGAAUGCCGUGGGUCUUAUUUACUGGAGUAAAUUGUUAAUGCUUUUAUUCUUUAGCAUUAUAAUUGAUUCCAUGGUUUAGUUUUAGCAUUGAGUUAAUGGAUUAAAAGGAAGUAUUGAGGUGAUUA